rnacentral:rRNA from 1 species
UCUGAAGGAGAUUAAAGAUUUAUCGGUGAUGGAUGGGGAUGCGUCUGAUUAGCUUGUUGGCGGGGUAACGGCCCACCAAGGCGACGAUCAGUAGGGGUUCUGAGAGGAAGGUCCCCCACAUUGGAACUGAGACACGGUCCAAACUCCUACGGGAGGCAGCAGUGAGGAAUAUUGGUCAAUGGACGAGAGUCUGAACCAGCCAAGUAGCGUGCAGGAUGACGGCCCUAUGGGUUGUAAACUGCUUUUAUAAGGGAAUAAAGUGAGUCUCGUGAGACUUUUUGCAUGUACCCUAUGAAUAAGGACCGGCUAAUUCCGUGCCAGCAGCCGCGGUAAUACGGAAGGUCCGGGCGUUAUCCGGAUUUAUUGGGUUUAAAGGGAGCGUAGGCCGGAGAUUAAGCGUGUUGUGAAAUGUAGACGCUCAACGUCUGCACUGCAGCGCGAACUGGUUUCCUUGAGUACGCACAAAGUGGGCGGAAUUCGUGGUGUAGCGGUGAAAUGCUUAGAUAUCACGAAGAACUCCGAUUGCGAAGGCAGCUCACUGGAGCGCAACUGACGCUGAAGCUCGAAAAGUGCGGGUAUUCGAA